GGGCCAGUCUCUAGGGUGGGCUGCCUGCCCUGGCUGAGCUGGAUUAAAUCGGUGCUCUAGUGGGUGGGGCAGACCUGGGCUAGCAGGCCUCAGGGAGAACUCCAAUGGCGUCUGUGUCAGCACGCCCACACCAGGCCACAACAAUGGCCGCCGCCAAUGUCCCAGUCCCUGGAGAGGUCUCACCCCUCACCGAGAUGCACUCGGGGCCUAUUAGAAUGGUGGAGUCCCGCUCCCCACGGCAUCCUGCUCUCGAGGGACCAGCAGCAGGUUUGUGAGGGGCAGCUGCCCGGAGGCGGGGGUGCCCUGCGAAACUGGAAUAAAGUCCCAGGACACAAAACAGGAAUCCACUCCAAAGGGGAGCUGCUAAGGAAGGACCUGGGCCCACUAUUGUGCUGGAAGAACCAAAAGCUCGUAGACUAUGGCAAGAAGCAAUAAGACCCCAAAGGAAGUGGCCACGGAAGCACAUGGUUACCUUGCCACCACUCCACAGGCACCAGACAAGGACGCUCAGUGGAGCUGAACGUGGCAGUUCAUUCCCCAUCACUCACAGCCCAGCAAAUAGCAGGAGCAGAGCAGGCGGCACUGGGUCCCGUCCCCCACGUCCAUGGGGCAACGUCAUGGGCCCAGAUGGCGGCUGCCCAAGGAGUGGGUUGUGCUGCAGUCGAAGGAGGAAUCCAGGCCAAGGACCCAUCAUCUCUGUAGCAAGCAGCAAAUAAACCCACCCACUCCCUGGGGAGUCAGCAGACCCAGUAGUCACACUGUGACUUGAUUACCUAGUUGCCUAGUGACCAGCUACAGAAACUGUUCAGUGCCAGGGAAACUAAGGCAUCAGUUUGGCCCACUCAGCAGGGACACUCAGGGAAUGGUGGUCUGCCUCUCCCAAGAGUGCUAUAACCCUGCACUGUGCCCCUUCUCUAAGUUGCUCUUCUUAAGAUUCUCAUUUCAGACACGUCUUAAUGCAUUUGGACACUCCAUGGCAACACUUGACUUAGAUGUCACUGACAAGUCCUUUCUAUCCUAGUAUGUUGCAGUUGGAGCUACAUGAGUUUCUGUCCUAUUUCUCUUGCAACUCUGUGUUUAUGCUUUUGAGUUCCUCCUUAGAACAAUAACUAGGUGAGGAGACUAUUCCCAAGAAAUGGCUUUCCCUCAAAAGAUCUUUUGAUAGCCAAAAAUCAAACUCAAAAGUUGACAUUCAUUUGCUCAUGUUAAAUCCAAAUUUGUCAAAUCCAGAGGUGAAAAGUUGAAGGGUUUCCCCCUUGCUAGGGAUGGCCAAGUCAACCACCAAUGAUUAUGCAGCAUUGUUGGGGGAAGUUUUGAAGGGGGUGCGACUCCUGCCCUUAAGAAUUUGUAAUCAUUCUGGAGUGGCAAUGCAAUCAAAUAAAAAGUGAAAACAAAGAAACUAACAACCCAGUAGUGAAAGAAUAUAGGAUAUUUAACAAAGUUAGAAUGAUCCUUGAUGUGCAAAUAAAAUGUAGUGAAAAGGAUCCAUUGAGACCAACUCAAGUGCUGUGUUCUCUGGGAAGCCUGCCCUGCUCGACCCCUUUGCCCAGUCUGUGGGGAUAAAUCCUUCCCUCCCAGUGUUCCUGCAGUACUUGCCUGUCACUGUCCCUCUGUUCACUUGCCUCCCCCUCAACUGGAUGGGGAGCUCCUCAAGGGCAGGAACCUCCUAGGACUAUGCACCUUGGCAUGCACCCCUCAGCAUGGGGCCUACACCAGAGUGGGUGCACCACAAAUGUAAAUUGAAUGGACUUGAAAGUGUCAGGGACACAUACUAGCCAAGAAGGACAGACCCAGAGACACACAAGCCUAUGGGGACAGACCAGCGACGCACAGCCAAUGGGGACAGACCCAGAGACACUCAAGAGUCAAUGAUGACAGACCC